AUUGAACGCUGGCGGCAUGCCUUACACAUGCAAGUCGAACGGCAGCACGGGAGCAAUCCUGGUGGCGAGUGGCGAACGGGUGAGUAAUACAUCGGAACAUGCCCGGUCGUGGGGGAUAACACCUCGAAAGAAGUGCUAAUACCCAAUACGCCGUGAGGGAGAAAGCGGAGGAUCUUCGGCCCUCGCGCGAUUGGAGUGGCCGAUGUCAGAUUAGCUAGUUGGUGGGGUAAAGGCCUACCAAGGCAACGAUCUGUAGCUGGUCUGAGAGGAUGAUCAGCCACACUGGGACUGAGACACGGCCCAGACUCCUACGGGAGGCAGCAGUGGGGAAUUUUGGACAAUGGGGGCAACCCUGAUCCAGCCAUUCCGCGUGAGUGAAGAAGGCCUUCGUGUUGUAAAGCUCUUUCGGCAGGAACGAAACGGCGAGCUCUAACAUAGCUUGCUAAUGACGGUACCUGAAGAAGAAGCACCGGCUAACUACGUGCCAGCCGCCGCAGUAA
rnacentral:rRNA from 1 species